rnacentral:rRNA from 1 species
GAUUAAGUUAUUAAGGGCGCACGGUGGAUGCCUUGGCACUAGAAGCCGAUGAAGGACGUUACUAACGACGAUAUGCUUUGGGGAGCUGUAAGUAAGCUUUGAUCCAGAGAUUUCCGAAUGGGGAAACCCAGCAUGAGUUAUGUCAUGUUAUCGAUAUGUGAAUACAUAGCAUAUCAGAAGGCACACCCGGAGAACUGAAACAUCUUAGUACCCGGAGGAAGAGAAAGAAAAUUCGAUUCCCUUAGUAGCGGCGAGCGAAAUGGGAAGAGCCCAAACCAACAAGCUUGCUUGUUGGGGUUGUAGGACACUCUAUACGGAGUUACAAAGGACGACAUUAGACGAAUCAUCUGGAAAGAUGAAUCAAAGAAGGUAAUAAUCCUGUAGUCGAAAAUGUUGUCUCUCUUGAGUGGAUCCUGAGUACGACGGAGCACGUGAAAUUCCGUCGGAAUCUGGGAGGACCAUCUCCUAAGGCUAAAUACUCUCUAGUGACCGAUAGUGAACCAGUACCGUGAGGGAAAGGUGAAAAGCACCCCGGAAGGGGAGUGAAAUAGAACCUGAAACCGUGUGCUUACAAGUAGUCAGAGCCCGUUAAUGGGUGAUGGCGUGCCUUUUGUAGAAUGAACCGGCGAGUUACGAUUUGAUGCAAGGUUAAGCAGUAAAUGUGGAGCCGUAGCGAAAGCGAGUCUGAAUAGGGCGUUUAGUAUUUGGUCGUAGACCCGAAACCAGGUGAUCUACCCUUGGUCAGGUUGAAGUUCAGGUAACACUGAAUGGAGGACCGAACCGACUUACGUUGAAAAGUGAGCGGAUGAACUGAGGGUAGCGGAGAAAUUCCAAUCGAACCUGGAGAUAGCUGGUUCUCUCCGAAAUAGCUUUAGGGCUAGCCUCAAGUGAUGAUUAUUGGAGGUAGAGCACUGUUUGGACGAGGGGCCCCUCUCGGGUUACCGAAUUCAGACAAACUCCGAAUGCCAAUUAAUUUAACUUGGGAGUCAGAACAUGGGUGAUAAGGUCCGUGUUCGAAAGGGAAACAGCCCAGACCACCAGCUAAGGUCCCAAAAUAUAUGUUAAGUGGAAAAGGAUGUGGCGUUGCCCAGACAACUAGGAUGUUGGCUUAGAAGCAGCCAUCAUUUAAAGAGUGCGUAAUAGCUCACUAGUCGAGUGACACUGCGCCGAAAAUGUACCGGGGCUAAACAUAUUACCGAAGCUGUGGAUUGUCCUUUGGACAAUGGUAGGAGAGCGUUCUAAGGGCGUUGAAGCAUGAUCGUAAGGACAUGUGGAGCGCUUAGAAGUGAGAAUGCCGGUGUGAGUAGCGAAAGACGGGUGAGAAUCCCGUCCACCGAUUGACUAAGGUUUCCAGAGGAAGGCUCGUCCGCUCUGGGUUAGUCGGGUCCUAAGCUGAGGCCGACAGGCGU